AUACGUAGGUGGCAAGCGUUGUCCGGAAUUACUGGGUGUAAAGGGCGUGUAGGCGGGGAUGCAAGUCAGAUGUGAAAUUCCGGGGCUCAAACCCGGCACUGCAUCUGAAACUGGGUCUCUUGAGUGCUGGAGAGGAAAGCGGAAUUCCUAGUGUAGCGGUGAAAUGCGUAGAUAUUAGGAGGAACACCAGUGGCGAAGGCGGCUUUCUGGACAGUAACUGACGCUGAGGCGCGAAAGCGUGGGUAGCGAACAGGAUUAGAUACCCUGGUAGUCCACGCCGUAAACGAUGGAUACUAGGUGUAGGAGGUAUCGACCCCUUCUGUGCCGGAGUUAACACAAUAAGUAUCCCACCUGGGGAGUACGGCCGCAAGGUUGAAACUCAAAUGAAUUGACGGGG
rnacentral:rRNA from 1 species